AUGUGCCGUCUCCCAGUGCCCCUAGUCCCACUGCUCCCAGUUCCAGCCCUCCCAGUGCCCCCAGUGCUCCCAGUCACACUGCUCCUAGCCCUCCAGUUCCUUCAGUCCCAGCCCUUCCAGUGUCCCCAGUCCCAACUGCCCCAGACCCAGCCCCCAAUUCCCCCAGUCCCAGUCCCUUCAGUCCCAGCCCUCCCAGUGCCCCCAGUCCCAGUUCCCUCAGGCCCAGCUCUCCCAGCCCCCCCAGUGCCCCCAGUCUCACGGGUUGGUGCUGCCCAGCAGGAAGAAGGCACUGCCCUCAGGGAUCGGCGCCACCUUGGCCUUGGGGGGCUCUUCCAGGGGCUCCAGCCGCGGCCCCCCCAGGCUGUCCCGCUCCCCCCCGGCCUCCUCCUCACCUGCGGGGACCCAGGCGUCCGGGCAGCACAUGCAUAUGCCGGGACCCCGGCAUCCAGGGCCCCCAUCCCCCCCGCUGCCCCGGGAUCCCAGCGUCUGGGGGGGGCUGGCACCUACCUUCUUCGCUCCCCUCCUCCUCCUCUUCCUCGGGCUUCAGCGGCUCCCCCUCAACCUGGGGGGGAUGAGCACAUGUGCACACACGUGAGGGCCAUGCACACGCGUGCAGACACAUGUGAGGGCUGCGCACACAUGUGCGGACACACGUCCCCCAUCCGCACUCACCUUCACACUCACAUCCUGCCUCCCCGCACCGGCCUCCGCCUCUCCGGCCUUGUCCCUGCGGGGUCAGAGGGGCUCAGCCAGAGGACCCAGGCGUCCGGGGGCCCCUGCACCCCACCCCUGCCCCGGAAGCCCAGGCGUCCGGGCUCACUUCUUGCCAUCGGAUCGCGAGUUGAUGUUGUCGCCGUCCGCCAGGUUGUCAACGGCGAUGGCCAAAAAGACGUUGAGGAGGAUGUCUGGGUGGGGGGGGUGUUAACCAGUGCUCCCAGUUCCCCCCCGCCCGCAUUUCCAGCAUCCUGCCAGUACCUCCCAGUGUCCCCCACUCCUUCCCAGUGCCCCCAGCCCCACCAGUGUCCAGGCCCCAAUGUCCCCCCUCACCCAUGGCCCUGUCCCCAGUCCCCGCAGUCCCUCCUGUGUCCAGCCCCAGUGUCCCCAGUCACCUGCAGUCCCAUUCCCAGUUCCUCCAGUCCCCCCAGUGUCGGGGCCCAGCGUUCCCAGUCACCCGCAGCCCCGUUCCCAGCGCCCCCGGCACCACGCACAGUUGCCGCAGAUGAAGAGGAUGACGAAGUAGACGCAGACCAGCAUGCCGGGGAAGACGGGGCCGCCGUAGGCCAUGAUCCCAUCAUACAUCACCGUGUUCCAGUCCUCCCCCGUCAGGAUCUGGGGGCGCCCCCCAACGCUGGCGUCACCCCAGACCCUCGGGGGGCCCCGGUGCUCCCAGCGCCAGCCCCCCAUUAG
rnacentral:lncRNA from 1 species